GAAAUAAGUGUGGUGUUUCUUUGUGCAUAAAAAGCUGUUGCUAUGUCUGAUUUGCUACAGUGUGGCGAAAGAAUUAUAGUAUCUGAUUUGUUGGAGAAAAGAGAAGGGAGGAAAUCUGCGCCUUUGUUUACAGAGGUAUUAUGAAGUACUAGUAAGCUAUUUAUCUCUUGCUGAAAUUUGAAGCCUUUGAGUCAAAUCUCAUUUAUUAAUUCAAUUAAAUUUUUUCAAGAAAUUUUACAUUUAAACAUUUAUUAAAAAGGAAAAAAAAAAAAAAAAAAAGAUGGGAAAAGGGGAUUGUAGAGAUCAGCUAAGCCAGAUUUUGCCCCAAAGACAGCUCUCCUCUUGGUUAGGUUUCCCUCCCUCCUUCUUUCCAUAGAAAUUAAACAUUUACCCUACAAGGCAUCUGAACACACCAAAACAAACCCCCUCCCCAACCUACCCGCCCCCCCCCAAAAAAGGAGGAGAUAGGUCCCUGGCCUUCAGGACUUUAUAUUAAUUGGGAAGACAAGAAUAGGCAGAAAACAUUAAACAAUCUGAGAACAAUAAAAGACAAAAUUCUGAGCAAGGAUAGAGUAUUUGUGUUGCUGCUGGAUAAGAAAAGCUUCAAGGAGUUGGUCUCUGGCCAGGUCUUGAUGGAAUUCUGACUGGUAGAGAGCAAAAGGGCAUUCUGGAAGAGAACUGCUCUAAUUAAGGCAUGUCAUAUAUCAUUCAUUCAUCUGGUGAUCCAAUAUUUAUUAAGCAACUCAUAUAUGAGAUUUUUGGCGUACUGCAAGGGGGUAGACUGGGGUUUUUGCAGAGUAAGGACAUGCAGGAUAAUUCUUUUGGAAAGGUGAAGCCAUUUGUCUUGUGGUUUCCUCAAAGAUACCACAUUCUCAGCUCACAGCCACUAAUAACUGUAACCAAAAGGCAAUGAUUCUCCCCCUUCUCUUUUCUCUGACAAGGGUGCCUUUCCUAAUCUGUGCUGCUUCCUACGGGCCCCAGCCCAGACCAGAUAUCACUUCCUUCACAAAAGCCCUCCUUUACGUGAGCUUGGGCAAGGUGGCCCCAGCUAAAAAGCUCACACUGGCCAUCAUUUCUUAGCGUCUGGAAGGAAGUGUUGCAGACUAGAAGGUGGGUGGACCUGAGGUGAGGGGGGACCGUGGAAUGUUUCUCCCUGCUUCCCUCCAUCCUACCCCCUGGGCGUUCCCUACAAACCCAUCACCUCUCUCAUCUGGAGACGCCAGUUUAGUCACGGGGGUGGACGUUAACAGAUAAUCAGGCAAAUGUCAGCUAUAAAUUGUGAAACGUGCCACCAGGAGGAAGUAGCUAGACGUGGUGAGAAAGAAUACUGGACCAGGAGGUCAGCAGAGUAACACCAGCCACCCUGCCCUUCUCCCCACGAUGGCAUCCAAAGGACGAGGGCACCUCUGAAGCCCAGGGCAGGGCAGGCAGCUUUGAGCCUGGAAUCUGGGCAACAAAGGGAAGGAGAUGAGAAGAAAGCAAGGUGAGCCCAUGGAGAAGGCUGCAUGGACCACUGAGGAGUUGGGAAUUUGUUCCGAUUGCACCACGAAGCCACUGAAGCAUUUAAAGCAGUUUUUUAAACAGUCGUGCUGGUUUCCUGUGGAGAAACACUGGGAGGGGAGCCAAGUGGAAAUGGCGAGACUUCAGGAGACAGUGGUCCCCUCACUGCCGGAGAGAACUGAGGGAAGGCGUGUUGGAUAGGAGCAAUAGUGGUCGCAGACCCUGGGGUCUGUUGAGGCAGUGAGGUGAGGUGGGCGUAAGAGACCACGCAGGUUUCUGAAGGUACCCCGUGUGUGGUUAUUUUUAGAACCAGAGCAGUAGCAUAGAUUGAAAAUAAAUGUAUUUUAAAAUAUGACUAUGCACCCAUUACAACCGAGUCAAAGGCUUUUAGUGACAAAGGUGAGAGGACUAUUUGCCUAUAAAAUCCUAAGUUCACAGAUGCGGUUUAAUGACUCUAUUAAGGACUUUUAAAACACUAAGGAAAACAUCCUGAUAAAUUUGUGAAAGAAAUGGACACAUGGCAUGUUUGAAGAUUUUAUGUGAGAAAUGUAAAUCAAUCAAAAAAGGCAUUUAAAAUUGUAAAUCAAACUGUAAAUUAAAGCAAUGAGUUGUGUGGUUUUGUUUUUUUUUUUUGUUUUUUUUUUUUAACCCAUGAAGUAUCACCAAUUAAUAAAACAACAAUCCUCCAUGCUAGCAAGGUAUGGGGUGGCACAAAACACUCAUUUACUGCUGCUGGUCUGUAAUUAGCAGAACCUUUCUGAAGGGCAAUUUGGCGACCUGCAGGAAGAGCUUUAGAAAAUCUCACUUGCUUUUUACCUGACAGUUCUACUUCCAGAACUAUGUCUCAGAAUAAUCCAUGAUGUAAACAAAGAUUUAGGUACAGGGAUAAUCAUAAUUAUAUCUAGCAGCACAAACUUAGGGGAAAAAAAAAACCUUGUGUCCAUCAACAGAGUAUUGCUUAACACCUUAGGAUACAUUUGUGUUUUCACAGACAAAAUGUUCACAUUGAAAUAUUAAGCAAAACACUCCCCCCCUCCAAAAAUAAAAUAGGAAACACAAAACUGAAGGUCCUCUCCUCCAAAAGGGGCAGAAGCAGAGGGACGGCACAGGAAAAGCUAUGAGAGGGACCUAGACCCGUGUGUUAGCAGGGAACUAAUUUUAUAAUUUGUAAAACAUUCUUUUCCAUUAUGGUUUAUCACACGAUAUUGAAUAUGGUCCCCUGUGCUAUACUGUAGGACCUUGUUGUUCAUCCAUCCUAUAGGGAACUCAUUUUAAUUUUUAGAUUUUUUUAAUCCAUUUUCACAAUGAGCAUUUACAUUUUAAUACGUUUAAAAACUUAAAACAUUGUUUAAAAACAAUAUGUAUAAAGGAAGGAAAAAAGAAACCAAAAGGAGAUGGCUAUGGACCCUGUGAGCAGAGCACUUAAAUAAGGAGAGGAAGCCCACUUCCUGAGCCUCACAGACCCUUCCCUGGACCAUUUCUGCUCCUACCGCUUGCUGUGCUCUCUCUCCCAGUUUCCACCACCUGGAAUGUGGUUCUCCUUCUCUUCUUGGCCUGGCUAAUUCCUACCAUCUUUAGGUGUCAGGUACCCAUGCUUCCUCUGCCCUCCUGUGCCUCCUGAGCCUGGCGGAGCUGCUCCUGCAGUGGUCUCCGUAAUAACCCCAAGGCCACUAUCACAGACCUGCUGUGUCCCUGUUAGGACUGGUUUGACUGCUGGCCUUUAUGUUCCAUGAGGGCCAGGACUGUCUUUCUUGCUUACCAAGCUAUCCCCAGGGACUACAAUAGAGUUGGGGCAAAACAGGACCUCAGUAUAAAUUCUUGAGUCGUUUUUUGGUCUGUUUUUUGUUUUUAAGUGCUUGGAGAGGGUCAAAGAGAGAGAGAGAUGUACAAAAGUUUGCAAGAGAGUGAAGGAAAUGGAGUGUGUUUAUCAAACAGCUAAGGAAGAAGCCCGUGUGAAGAAAUGGUGUGGAGGAUGCACAUCCACUCCCAGAGGAUGGCAGUGAACAUGGGUGGAUGGAAAGAUGAUUAGCACAGGUGGAUUGAGCAAGAUUUAAAGGAAAUCUGAUUCAGCCACCUUCUCCUUAACCUCUCCAAUGCCCCCUUCACCAAACUGGUAAAAUGGGCAAUUUCCUUGACAUUUCUUUGAAGCCUUCCAAGAUCUGGUCUCUUUCUGGCUUCAUUCGAUUCCAUUCUCCCCGGCUCAGUAUACUCCAGCCACACCUCUCUUCUCCCUGGGUUCCCUGAAUAUCUCAGUCUCAUUCCUGCCACAGGACCUUUGUACUUCCUGCUCCCUCUGCUGAAAUACUUCUCCCUUCUUUGUGUGGUGCUUGACUCAUCAUACCACUCAUUAGAGUUGACUCUGCCUGCUUAGAUUGCCCUUCCCUGACUACCCUACUCCCUUGCCCCCAUUCCUAGUCCCUCUCCGUCAUAUUACCCUGUCUUAUUCUCGCUAAAGCACUUACCAGUAUCUGGAAUUAUCUCAUUUAUGUAUUUAAUGGCUGCAUAUUGUCUGUCACCUUCAUUAAGCAUAACUUACAUUAGAGUGGAGAUCAUGCUAGUUCUUACUGCCUCUGUAUUUCCUAUUCCCUUAAAUAGUGCUUGGCCCACAGCAGGUCCCCCACAAAUAUUUGCUGUUGAGAGUAAGGUCUAUGUAUGUUUGGAGGAAGUGAGGAAGAUGGUGCUACAGAGGGCAAAAUUAGAAAUGUUAUAGGCCAGAAAAGCAAAGAAGUAUCAUUUCUUAAGGCCAACCUUGAAUUCUGGAUAGUGGCUACCUAGAAUCUUGCCCUGGGUCUCUGAAGUUUCUCCAGGUUCAUAGGAAAUAAUGCUAUGAUUGACUAGCACUCUCUGCCAUGGGCAUAGGAAAGUUUUGGUGGUGAUCGACUAGUACUGUCUGCCAUGGGCAUGGGAAAGUUUUGGUGGUGAUUGACUAGCACUGUCUGCCAUGGGCAUAGGAAAGUUUUGGUGGUCCGACAGACCUUUCUGUAUUCCAGUUUGCACUGCUUCAAUUCUUGUCCUGACACAUGGACGUUUUGUUCAGGAUAUGGCCAAGACUGAUCUUAGUUAAUGUUUAAGUGUUUAGUUUUCUUUUUUCUUUAUGAAACAAUAUAACUGAAGAGCAUAAAAUGCUUUUUGUAUCAGUUUGGUGUACUUAUUUGUUCUCUAAUAAAACAUUCAUAUACAUGUGUUUUCAGUGGCAUGGGAGAAGCACAAAAAAGUAUUUCCUUGUUGCCAUGAUCUCAUUUCUUUCAGACUUUCAUAGUUGGAUCUUUUGAGUGAUAUGAGAAUGGUAGAUAAUUCUUAUUGCCAGCAGUAAGGGACAGUCUCAUAGAGAAGACAAGGAGAAGCUGCAGAUCUUCAUUCUUAGGAUCCUUUCAUGCUUAGGAUCCUUUGAGGCUUGGAAUCUGCAAAUUUCUUACUCCCUGAGCUAAUCAUUUCUUCUUGAGAACAGUAAGGCCUUUUAUCAAGAUGGCCACAUCCCUGUAUGUCCUGACAUGCAAAUGAUGAUAAUGGGCCUAAUUAACCCAGUGACCAUGAUGACCAAAAAAAGAGGAGUAUGCAUAAGUGAAUGAAGUUUGCCUGCCCUGGGAAUUUGGACUUUUCAGAGGCACGCUUCUUUGUAUCAGAUAGUAUGCUCCGCUCAUUUCUUGUCUUUUUCAUGCAUCAAGCUAUUUGGAGGUGUGCAUUUUAAAACCCAGCACAGAGUGCUUGACCCAGACCCUUCCCCAGGAUCUGCUCAGCACACACCAUUUCACAGUGUUACUUCUGGGUACCCACAAGUCAUCACAGUGUUGCAACUGUGACAGCCCCAAGGUUUAGAGGGUCCAACACCCCUGCCACUUCCACCUUCUCCUCUAAGUGCUGGCAUUGAUCUGCCCCUGAGCCAGUGCCAACGAGAAAGGAAAGCUAAUCCUGUUUGAAAGUGGCCCAAGUAUUAACUACAAUCACUUUGGGGCAAAAGGCCAAAGAGCCCCGGUCCCACACAGUGUCCUCCUUCUUCCUGGCACUCCCUGUGAUCAAUCCCACCUUUGCUCCCUCAUUUGACCUCAGGUGCAUAUCACCAUGGUGGGGCUGCAACUCAAAGUACAGCCCUGUGGCAGGAAGAUGAAUGGCUCCACCAAACACGUCCGUGUCCUAAUUCUGAGCACCUGCAGAUUUAUGAGACGACAUAAUGUUAGGGACUGAAUUGCAUCUCCUCUACCAUGUUGAAACUUGUGAUAUUGUGAUAUGAUAAGAACUAUAUAUUUGGUUUUAGUCUCCAGUUUCUGACAAAAGAGCUUCGAAGACUCUUGGAAUCUCCACAGUAAUAAGAACAUCUUUUUGUAUGCUAAGGAGAUGACUGCUCCCCCCCCCAUAGUGUCACCCUAAGGGCUGGUCACUGGCAAGACCUAGGUAUGAAUGAAAGCCCUACCCCCUGCUUCAGAGGCGGGGAGAGGGGCUGGAGAGAGUGUUAGUAAAAUAUCAUGCCUACAUUGGACAAAGCCUCCAUCAAAAUAUCUAAACUUUUGGGUGCAGAGAGCUGAUGAGUUGGUGAAUGCAUCCAUUUGGCAAGGAGGUUGAUGUACCCUAACUCCAUAGGACCCUGUGCUAGGGUCCCUUCUAGACCUCACCCUAUGUGCCUUUUCAUCUUGCUGAACAUCUGUAGCUUUUAUAAUAUCCUCAUCAUAAACUGAUAAACUUAAAUGAAGUGUUGCCCUGAAUUCCGUGAGCCUUUACAGCAAAUUACUGAAACUAUGGAGGGGAUGGUGGGAAUUCCCAAGUUAUAGCGGGUUGGAGAGAAGUACAGGUAACAACCUGGGACUUGUGGCUGGUGUCUGAAGUGGGAGCAGUCUUGUGGGCCGAGCCCUUACUCAAUGCAAUCUGCACAAACUCCAGUAGCUAGUGUCAGAAUUGAAUUAAACUGUAGGACACCUCGCUGGUGUCUGGAGAGUUGAAGAACUGGUUGUUGAUGAGGACAAACCCUGUAAUUUUGUGUCAGAAGUAUUGUGAGUAGAGGACCAGUUUUCUUGAGUAAGCCCUAACUGUCAGUGUGACCAUAUUGGAGAUAGGGCCUUUGAGGAGGUAAAGAGGGUUAAAUGAGGUCACAGGUUACAGCCCUAGUCCCAUGGGAAUGGUGUCCUUAGAAAAGGAAGAGACAGCAGAGCACCCUCUUUGCUUGUGCAUGUGGAGGACAGGUCAUAUGAAGAUGUGGUGAGUAGGCAGGUGUCUGUAACCCAAGAAGAGAAGUCUCAUCAGACACUAAUCCUGCUGGCACCUUGAUCUUGGACUUCUGGCCUUAAACUUCCAGAACUGUGAAUUUCUCUGGUUUAAGCCACCCAGUCUGUGGUAUUUUGUUACGGCAGCCAGAGCAGACAAAUACACAUAACAAAAGAGGAUUAAAGCUGCAGGUAGAAUUAAGGUUCUUAAUUAAGUGGUCUUCAGAUGGGGAGAUUAUCGUGAAUUAUCCAGGGGUAGGCCCAAUGUAAUCACAAGAGUCCUUAAAAAUAGAAAGAGGCACAAGAAGAGAGUCAGAGGAAGAUCUAGUUAUUGUUUAUUAGUGUAGAGAGACACAAAGAAGGAUUUGCUCCAGCUUUGAAGAUGGAAGACGUGAGCCAUGAGCCAAGGAACGCAGGCAAAGCUCUAGAAGCUGGAAGAGGCAAAGACAUGCAUUCUUUCCUAGAGCUUCCAGAAGGAAUGCAGUCCUGCUGACACUUUGGUUUUAGCCCACCGAGACCCGGGGUCAAACUUUUAAUCUCCAGAACUGUAGGUUCUUAAAUUUGUGUUGUUUUUUUUUAACGCCUUGGAAUUUAUGGCAAUUUGUUGCAAUACCUAGAGAAGAUCAGUAUAAUCCUGGUAAGACCUAAUAUCUAUUAACACUUUAAAAAUACUGUUUUGGAUAUACACAUCUAUUGGGGAUUCAUUUC
rnacentral:lncRNA from 1 species